rnacentral:rRNA from 1 species
CAAGGGUAUGGCUGUUCGCCAUUUAAAGUGGUACGCGAGCUGGGUUUAGAACGUCGUGAGACAGUUCGGUCCCUAUCUGCCGUGGGCGCUGGAGAACUGAGGGGGGCUGCUCCUAGUACGAGAGGACCGGAGUGGACGCAUCACUGGUGUUCGGGUUGUCAUGCCAAUGGCACUGCCCGGUAGCUAAAUGCGGAAGAGAUAAGUGCUGAAAGCAUCUAAGCACGAAACUUGCCCCGAGAUGAGUUCUCCCUGACCCUUUAAGGGUCCUGAAGGAACGUUGAAGACGACGACGUUGAUAGGCCGGGUGUGUAAGCGCAGCGAUGCGUUGAGCUAACCGGUACUAAUGAACCGUGAGGCUUAACCUUACAACGCCGAAGGUGUUU